CGUUGUACGCUAGCGGGAGGCUUAUCACAUGCAGCCGAGGGGUAUAGUUCUUUCGGGAACUAGAGACCGGCGCACGGGUGCGUAACGCGUAUGCAACUUGCCCUACUGAAAAGGAUAGCCCUUCGAAAGGAGGAUUAAUACUUUAUAAUAGAUUUCAUGGCAUCAUUAGAUUUUGAAAGAUUUAUCGCAGUAGGAUAGGCAUGCGUAAGAUUAGUUAGUUGGUGAGGUAACGGCUCACCAAGACGAUGAUCUUUAGGGGGCCUGAGAGGGUGAACCCCCACACUGGUACUGAGACACGAACCAGAUCUCAACGGGAGGCAGCAGUGAGGAGUAUCGGACAAUGGGUGGAAGCAUGAUCCAGCCAUCCGGCGUGUAGGAUGACGGCCUUAUGGGUUGUAGACUACUCGUAUCUGGGGAUAAACCUACAUACGUGUGAGUGGCUGAAGGUACCAGAAGAAUAAGCACCGGCUAACUCUGUGCCAGCAGCCGCGCUAAUACGGAGGAUGCAAGCGUUAUCCGUGAUCUAUUGAGUUUAAAGAGUCAGUAGGCGGAUUAAUCAGUCAGUGGUGAGAUCUCAUAGCUUAACUAUGAAACUGCCAU
rnacentral:rRNA from 1 species